rnacentral:rRNA from 1 species
CGGAACACGUACAGAACCUUCCUUUAAGCGGGGGAUAGCCCGGAGAAAUCCGGAUUAAUACCUCAUAGUAUUACUGGGUGGCAUCACCUGGUAAUUAAAGAUUUAUCACUUAGAGAUGGCUGUGCGGCUGAUUAGGUAGUUGGUGAGGUAAAGGCUCACCAAGCCAUCGAUCAGUAACUGGUGUGAGAGCACGACCAGUCACACGGGCACUGAGACACGGGCCCG